GGUUAUAACGGGUAACGGGGAAUCAGGGUUCGAUUCCGGAGAGGGAGCCUGAGAAACGGCUACCACAUCCAAGGAAGGCAGCAGGCGCGCAAAUUACCCAAUCCAGACACUGGGAGGUGGUGACGAGAAAUACCGGGUCGUGCCCAAAAGGUUUCGACACUGGAAUGAGUGCAAUUUAAAAAUUUCAACGAGUAACAACUGGAGGGCAAGUCUGGUGCCAGCAGCCGCGGUAAUUCCAGCUCCAGUAGUGUAUCUUAAAGUUGCUGCGGUUAAAACGCUCGUAGUUGGACAAGAGAGUGAUCAAGUGCGGGCGGGGAGUAAGCCUACUCUGUACUGGCUAGGAUGGCUGGGUUGCAUCUACGGAUGUUAGCUUGGCUGUCUGACUGCUGGGCAGAAGUACUACUUGUCGACCAUGCUGCUUGGUUACUUGUUUGUUCGUGAGAAUAUCAUAUGGCCUUAACUGUGCUGUGUGAUGUAUCUUACGUAGUGUGCCUUGAAUAAAUCAGAGUGCUCAAAGCAAGCUUACGCUUGAAUGUUAAUAGCAUGGAACGAAUGUUUUGUGAAAGCACAAGUAGUGAAGUAUUCGUACUAUCGCUACUUGUGCAGCACCAACUCCGAAUCGGAACAUUGGUAGCCGAAUUCGGGUGAUGAUUAAGAGGGGCAUUUGGGGGCAUUAGUAUUUGGACGCGAGAGGUGAAAUUCUUGGACCGUCCAAGGACUAACAAGUGCGAAAGCAUUUGCCAAGUAUGUUCCCUUUAAUCAAGAACGAAAGUGAGAGGUUCGAAGACGAUCAGAUACCGUCCUAGUUCUCACCGUAAACGAUGCCAACCCGGGAUCAGCUCGGAUGGUAAAUUGUGGAUCCAG
rnacentral:rRNA from 1 species